rnacentral:piRNA from 1 species
UAGCUGAAGCCUAGCCAAGGAUGAAUU